AGUGAACGCUGGCGGUAGGCCUAACACAUGCAAGUCGAAUGGCAGCACAGUAAGAGCUUGCCUUUACGGGUGGCGCGUGGUGGACGGGUGAGGACUACAUUGGAAUCUAUUUUUUCGUGGGGGCUUACGUAGGGAAACUUACGCUAAUCCCGCAUACGACCUCUGUGUGAAAGCAGGGGAUGUUCGGACCUUGAGUGAUUGAAUGAGCCGAUGUAGGAUUAGUUUGUUGGCGGGGUAAAGGCCCCCCAAGGCGACGAUCCGUAGCUGGUCUGCGAGGAUGAUCAGCCACACUGGGACUGAGACACGGUCCAGACUGCUACGGUAGGCAGCAGUGGGGAAUAUUGGACAAUGGGCGCAAGCCUGAUCCAGCCAUACCGCGUGGGUGAAGAAGGCCUUCGGGUUGUAAAGCCCGUUUGUUGGGAAAGAAAAGCAGCAGGUUAAUACCCCGCUGUUCUGACGGUACCCAAAGAAUAAGCACCGGCUAACUUCGUG
rnacentral:rRNA from 1 species